rnacentral:rRNA from 1 species
CCCUAUUAUAUUUAUUAAAUAUUUGUACAAGGUAGUAAUUGUUAUUUUCAUGAAACUUAAAGAAUUUGGCGGUGUUUAUUCAAAUUAGAGGAAUAUGUUUUUAAAAUGAUAUUCCCCAAAUAUCUUACUUUAUUUUAAAUCUUUGUAUAUCUCCGUCUAAAAAAAUUUUUUUAAAAAAUAUUUUAAAUAUCUUUAAAGAGAGAAGUCAGGUCAAGGUGCAGGUUAUAGUAAAGUAAAAAUGUAUUACAAUAAAAUUAUUUAUGGAAUUGUUUUGGAAUAAAUGAUGAAAUUGGAUUUAAUAGUAAAAUUUCUUUUAUAAAAGAAAGUUGAAURUUGUUAAUAAGCAUGC